UCCCUGUGGAAAGCAGAGAGGAAAGAAGCAUCUCAGAAAGCAGAUAAUAAAGGGCUAUAGCAUUGGCUUAGUUCCUGUGUGAUCUUGGACCAGUUGCACGUCUACCAUGAUCCUCUUUUGCCAUGUAUUAAAAGGAGAUUCUUGCCAAGAAAGGAUAAAAAUGCAUUAAACAUUAUUGGAUGAUCAAUUACUGCAUGGUGAGGCUUCCAGACUCAUUUUCAACACUUAAUCUUUUUCACUUAAUUUUGAUAUAUGGGAGUACCAGGUUUUCCUGGUUGCUCCCUGUAGCAUCUAACUGGAAUGUGUUAGUACAAGAACUAGUAGUUGAAGAAUGUUGGAAAUGUGAAAGAUACUGCUGACAGCAUGCCCUGUGACCUGCUAAGUACUACGAAGGAUGGGAGUGAUGACCGCACAGAGCAGCCAAAGCGAAAUAAUGAAAAGCAGCACAACGUUUUGUUUCUUAGAUGCUAGCAAUCUUCCAGCACGUCGUACUCCUCUCAUCUGAGCUUCAGGUGGACCUAUAACCUUGCUAUUCCCUCUGAAGCUAUAAUUAAUCUUUGUAAAACAGUAAGUGUCUUAUUCAUCUCUGUCUUGUCUACAGUUACGUUAUAAUGUCAGACCUCUCCAGGGGGUACAAUGAGCAAAGGUCAGGACAGCUUCUCAAACUCCUAGAAAUAUUAAAUGGGGAGAGCAAUGAGGCUGCAGGAGCAGGUGACAAAGUGUUGUUCUGCUGAGAGGAAAGAAUUUGUGAUGCAACAUGGCACAAGAUGUCUCCAGAGACGGUAGAAGUGAAUGUCAUGGAAAAGAGUGAAUGGGCUCAAAAUCAAUAUGCUGUGCUCACUUGGUAAUGUAGAGGGUGAAUGCACUGUCAGGUUACUAGUGGGAAAUCCUGGCUUGGGGCACGCUGAGAAUGUGGGGUGGUUGCAAGCCAGGAAUAAGGACUGUUCCAUGAAGGGCUUGAAUUUGUUAUAUAUAUAAUCAGCAGGUGUCUUCCUAUAGACUGUAGUGGAAAAGGCUGCACUCCUAAAGAGUGAGGGUAGGACUGCAUGAAAUGCCCAAAAUAGCAUGAUACUCUGCUUAUCGGAUUGGAAUGGGAAAGUCUCAGCAGAAAGAGCAGUGUAGCAAACAGGGAGUCUGCCAGUAAUACCUGACUGCAAGCACUGCACUAUGGGCUGUAGGCAGAUGGACUUCUGCACAGAACAGGAUGGGAAAUGGUGUGCUGUCUAAAUACAAACUCAGAGUAAACUAUAGCAGUAAUCAAGAAUUAGCCACGUUACCCUAAAUGUUUAAAUACAUUUUUCCAUCAGUGUUUAAUUCCACUUAGAAAAUUCCAGAAACUUCUCAUUGGUAUGCCCAUAUUCCACACUUGUCUUCACACAGCCAGAGGUUUCCUUGCUGCCAAAGUCCUGUGUCAUUUUUGGCUUUUGAGAAAGUGGAAACAUAAAAAAACGUACUCUCUCUGCUGAAUGUUUGAUGAUACUACAGCGGUAUGUAGGGUCUGCUUGGGCCUGCAAUGCACAUUUGCGGUAAAAGGCCUGGAGUUACAGCUCACACUUCUGCUUUAGGUUUCCCAACAGCAUGAUUUUACAGAUGAAUGACUUCUCUUGGAAUAGCAAUGUGCUGCACGAGCCAAAUAGUGCAAGAGUUGAUACGGUUAGAUUGGCACGGUUGUGCUUUGUGCCGAGAGAGGAAGAUCGUUAUUCUUCAAAAAUGCAACAAGAUGCACGAGUCGAAACAAUGUGCAUAGGACAGCAGCUACACUGGGAAUGUCUGCUGUUGCUGUCAGUCAAAAAAAAUACCCUAAUUCUUUUCACAUAUCCUUGAUUUAUAACAAUGCAGGUUUAGAGUACAAGUCUGGCUUCAGACAUUUUACUAGGAGCAGAUUUUCAGCUGCUUUCUAAACUAUAUUAUUAAAUGCUUAUGUUAUUCACUCCUGUUUAGGUGAGAUCUACGCAAGCUGGGACUUAAUAGAAAAGCCUGUCUGGGGGCCUUCUACACUGGCAUUGCAUUUGCUGGCGGUGUGUUCAUGAGGGAUGAUCAGCAGUAGUGUGGAUACAGGGUUUUGUUUUGGUUACUGAGCAAACAAAUCAUGCUGCUCUGGUGUGAUUUGGUCUGUGGUUCUUUGGUUUGUGCUGAGAGCUUGCACCGGUGUGCACAAGUUCUAAACUACCCAGAAAAACUACUGUAAAUCCCCUAAAUUAAGGGAACAGAGGGAAAAUGCUAAGAAAUAGAAGUUAACGUUACCUGUCAGAGCUAGUCUCAUUUUCUUUGUGUUGCAAGACCUCCUCUGAUGUCAUUGAACAGCAUUAUCAGGCUAUUUCAGCAGAGUAUCUCUUAUUCCCCAAACUCCAUUUGUCUUGUUCUUUGAGCUAAGAAAAGUUUACAUCCUUCUGAGAACGGCACUUUUCCUGCUUUCUAUCCUAACAAUAGAACGACUCUUCAGAUAAUGAUUUAAUGAUUCUUUAAUUAAGGAUUUCUUUGAAAGUCCAGCUGUGCUGAGUGCAACAAGCCACUGGUUGCCUUAUUUCAAAGACAGGUUUCUGUGGGUACAAGAAGUUGUUUUAAGUUAACAUCACGUAUUUGAAUGUGUCCCUUCAGAGUCACAAGGUGUUAGUUAAUUCCUGAUUUAACUCUCUUGGCUGCAAAGUGGUGACAUCAGAGAUGAAAAUUAAGCGUGUAUGUUUUGAUGACCAGUUUAAACAGCAGUGAUCUGUUCCAGGAUGCGUUGAAUCACCGCGUGUUUAAACAGACCUUCUAGACAGAUCUUUGUGCUUAUCAUCCUGGCAUCCAUCUGAGAUUAUCUGGGAUGUUCACCCCAAUCUGUCCUUCUAGCAGCAUGGAAUAUGCAUCGGCUUAAAGAAUAGGUUUCCAAUAAAGAAUGUAAACAAAGCUAAGGGCUUUUUCCAAGCCUAAGUAAUUGGCUGAGAGCUUGGAAAAUUUGCUGAUCGUGGAUACGGAGGCAACCAGUAGACUGUGUUUGCUAGUUAGCAAGAAUCUCCUUAAUCCCAUGUCAACUAGAGGAGGGAGGACACUUCAGCACAAGUGUGAAUUGUAAACACCAGUUCUGAGGAGGCUCAGCUGUGUCCUUGCUGUGACUCUUCCCAGCAGCCGGGACUUGGGCAAGGUGUCUGUGGUUCCCCGAGUAACUGGGAAGUCCUACAGCAAGAGGUGCAGCGGUGAAAGAACAGGGAAGAGCAGCCACGUGUGCCGUAGGAUUGCACGCGUGCUUGGAUGCUGUCUGCUGCUUUCUCUCUCCUUUGAGUUACAGCAUGCUUGGCAGAUGACCCAAGAUGAAGCAAGGUAUCGUAAUUGUGUUGUUCAUUUGGGUAGACUAUCAAUUGCUUGUGAAGUAUUUAAUCAAAAUACAUCCCUGAGAAAGCUUUGUCAUCCGCUAUGAAAACAGAGCCUGUAUCUUUGGACACCGAGGUCUAGCUUUAUGUCUGUUCCUCAGUAAAUUACUAAUUCUUGCAGGUCUGUUUUCCCAUGAUUGAAUGGCAGGUGACGUACAAAUGUUAAUAUUAUCCCUAUUUUAUCCUUUUUGUUUUUCUAAUGUUAGGAAAGUGGAAUGCUAACAAAAUGUACCAAGGAGAUGUGAGUUCCAUUCUCAUAUUUCUUAUACCAGACCCUGUACUGCUGUAGGUGCUAAAUACAAAACUUGUGUUGUCUUGCAUGUAACUGUACAAUUUACUAAAAUACACAAAUACCAGCUAUUUCAGUGACUAGGCUGAUAGCUUUUCUGCUUGCUUGCUUUUUUUUUUUUUUUCUUUUGCAAAUAGAGAAGCCACUGUCUCGCCAUUUCCCUCUCCAAUAAAGGCAUAAAGUCUAGAUCUUGCAUGUGAGCUUUAUGUGUAUGGAAGGUUCCACCCAGCCCAUGGCAGGGGUGCAGCUGGAGGGGUUUUGAGGUCUUAAGUUUUUGGGCGUACAGAACAGCGUCCUAUUGCUGCUUUUUGACAACUAUUCACAAAUAAACACUUGUGCUGGGCUCACUGAUGAUAGAAAGUCUGUAAUGAUCAGCUGUAACAGGAACCAAGGGUUUAUCACCUCCUGCUAGAAGAAACCUCAUUUACGCUCUAGGUAAUGUGUAAAUAAGUACAUCCACUUAAGUGUCAUGAAAAAUACACAGCAGGAGCUUACGUUUAUCCACGGCUGUAUUGAGCCAAAUGCUGACAAAAAGUGAGGUGGGGGGAAGUUAAUAUUCUUAAACAGAGUGAUUAGUUUCCCAACAUGUUUUGUGUAUGCUAGGCUCAGCUAUAAGCCUCAGCUUGAAAACUUGGCUGUGUGUCAUAAGAUGCCCCUAAUCCAAUGGCUAAAACUGAAAUGCUUGAAUAGUAGGCAGUGUAAUUGAAUUUAAGUGCUAGCGCAGUGGCAGUUGUUUUCUCAUAAUUCGCAUAGCUGGCUUUAUUGGCUGAAAAAUUCUAAAUAAUUAGAAAAUCUAAACAGUGAUCAUACCAGGUUGAGGCACAGCCCAUAGUGACAAGAGUCCUUUUCAAAAUGAGAGUAAAGAUUGCUGGAUUUUUCUGUACAUCUUUCAGGGUCCUCUGGGAUUUCUGCUUCAUUUCCUCAUUCUCACCUUUAAUAGCCAGCAUAUCAGUCAUAAACUAAUAAUCAAGGGAUACUAGGUCAUGAGCGAUGCAGGAAUUCUCCAGAUAGCUAUAAACAGUUUCCAAAUAGUAUCAUAAUAAGCACAGUAUAAAUAUUUAUACUGACAGCUCUAUGGUCCCUCACCAAAUAUCUGAGUACUUUCACUUCAGAAACUUCAACUCUUGUCUUGCUUGGUCUCAGCGUACAGAAAGAAAAUGGGCUGCUACCAGCUUCCUGUACACGGAUAGCACACCACAGACUUUAACUCAUUCCUACAAAAGCUUUACCUGAGGUAAUCCAAUAAAUGAUUUUCAGAAUAUACGCUUUUUAAGAAGAAAAUUGUUUUUUUUCACCCCUUUGCAGGGACGUAACCCAACUGUGUGAGAUGAAGCCUCGUGUAUGGCUUUGAGAAGUGCCAACCAAAUACCGUUUGCAGCAUCUUUCUUACUGGUGACCAUAUCCCAGGCAGCAAGCUUCCAAGUGGGGUUCUACAGCCUGGCCUGAGUUGCCUGUGAAGUUCGUGCUGCUCUGAGAGCCCUGCGCAGUGAAAUGGCUGUUUGGCUACAGAAGCACGGAGAUCUGCACGCACGUCAGGGCUCACAUAGCAAGACUGCGAGUCAGCCCUUGCAGCAGAGGCUAAAUGCUGCUCACCUCCAGCAGAACCCUGUGGCCUCUCCCUGCUGCAUGCAGCCGGUAGGGUUGUCCUUCCAGAUGUGAAUGGUGAGACAGGUGGCCAUGGCCAGCCAGCCCAGGUAGGGCACCAUCAGCAGCGCUGCCACCUUGUUGAUGGGGUACCAGGAGCACACGGUGCCUAUGGCCAGGCUGUCUAAGC